rnacentral:rRNA from 1 species
UACAUGGGGUGCAAACGUUGCUCGGAAUUAUUGGGCGUAAAGCGCCCGUAGGCGGUCCGUUACGUCAGAUGUGAAAGCCCCCGGCUCAACCGGGGAAGUGCAUCUGAAACUGGCGGGCUAGAGUACGAAAGAGGGUCGCGGAAUUCCCGGUGUAGAGGUGAAAUUCGUAGAUAUCAGGAGGAACACCGGCGGCGAAGGCGGCCCCCUGGCCCGCAACUGACGCUCAUGGUCGAAAGCGUGGGGAGCAAACAGG